rnacentral:rRNA from 1 species
UUUCCGUAGGGUGAACCUGCCCUAAGGAUCAUUAUCGAAAACGAAACGAGAGGGGGGGGAGGGGGAAGACUGUAGCCAUGACCACCGGGCGUGUGCACGCCUCUCUCUCUCUCUUUCUCUCGUAUCCCAUUACACACACCUCGUGCACCCUUUGUAGGUCUCUCGACGAGAGGACCUAUGUUUUCACUUCAUUCUCCAUGUCGUAUGUAUCAUGAAUCAUGUUCGAUAUAUGAAAAUACAACUUUCAGCGAUGGAUCUCUUGGCUCUCGCAUCGAUGAAGAACGCAGCGAAUCGCGAUAUGUAAUGUGAAUUGCAGAUAUUCAGUGAAUCAUCGAAUCUUUGAACGCACCUUGCGCUCCUUGGUAUUCCGAGGAGCAUGCCUGUUUGAGUGUCAUUAAUUUCUCAACCAUCUGGGCUUCGUUGACCUGCAUGGCUUGGACUUUGAGGGCUUGCCGGCCUUCGAACCAUGGUUUGCACUGGUGAAUCAUGGUCGUCACGUCGGCUCUCUUGAAAUACAUUAGUGGAAUCGAAUCGACUUGCAAUCUCGGGAUUCGUCUCGUCGACGUGAUGAUGAUCGUCGUCAGGACCUUUGUGUGAUCGGGACCCUCGGG